UUCCGGUCCUGGUGAAGCUUUGCCAGGAUAUCUGUGAGCAACCCGGCACACCUUGCAGGUGUACAGCUAAUGCUCCCUACCUCGGGAGCCAGGAAAUGAUACACGUGAGGAAGAAAGAUGAUGAAAUCAUAAAGGAACAUUUACCUAAGCUGACAUUUUACUAUGGUAAAACAGAUGACUGGUGUCCAGUAAAGUACUAUGAAGACAUGAAGAAAGAUUUUCCAGAAGGCGAUAUCCGACUCUGUGAGAAAGGAAUCACCCAUGCUUUUGUCCUCGGGUUCAGCCAGGAGGUGGCUGCCAUAGUUGCUGACUGGAUGAAUCAUAAACUGCCCAAAAUAUAAAAACUGGCCCUGGGAAAACGCACCUACAGCUGAUUCGUGGGAGCUGUAGGUGUGUUCUGAUUACUGGUGAAUGUCUAUUCUUAACGCUUGAAAAGGAACAUGAGACCCUGCUGGCUUACAGUCUUACCCGCUCCCUGUGCUAAAAGUGAACACAGUUGAUGACUCAUUCCACAUGUUCCCUGACUCAGGAAACACAGAGAUCUCCACAAAGAUUCCUCUUUUUACAAGAAGCCCAACAGCACGGUACAGUGCAGUUUGCCCAACAGGAUCCUGACAAGCCCAAGACAAUCUAAAUAUAGGUGAUUCCAAGUGAAUCGUUAGAGUCGAUUGUCCUGGAUGAAAUUAUGAAACUCUUACUAGAGAAUGAAAACCCACCCAUGAGUGUGAAGUGUGCAGUCAGGUGUGUAAAAUGUGUAAGACUGAGAAGAGCACCCCUGCUCUUCCUGCUGCAGGGAGGAAUGAGCAGGGACGCUGGCAGUAAGCUUGGUUUCCCUUCAGGGAUGGAGGAAAGCACGUCAGACGUUGUACGGGUCUUGGCUGAGGUCACCAGCAUGUCUUCUUCCUGCUGCAGUAAACCGAGAAUCAGGGUUGCCUGACAUUUGUCAACUAACCAGACAGAGUUGCUGAAGGAUCCUGACUCUGACCUGCCACAGGAUGGCCAGAUGGCAGCAGGCUCCAAUGAGCCCUAAAAUGCCACGUCCCUGCAGGCUGCUCUAGAGAAGAAGGGAGGGAUGGACUGUCCACAUCUGGUGUGUAUGGCCGUGGAGUGGCUCAUCGCUGUGGUUCCUCCAGUGAAGCUCCAUGCACAGGAAGCUGUGAACUGGUGCCUUUCAUGAUGCCGUUCGCUACCCUACAAUUCUUCCCUUCUGAAAAUCUAGAACAUACUUUUUGGGAAGAUGUUUUAAAUUGUUGAGUAAAACAUUAGCAUAAAUUUAUUUCCCAUUUGCCUAAAUUUUAUUCUGGAAAGAUACUAUUUUGCAAAUGAACAGAAGUAAUCCAUUAAAUUUUGUAUUACUGCACCUCUGAAAGUGUAUUCGUGACUGAGAAGUGGAAGGCCAGCUAGGCUGCCUUUCCUUAAUUGACUCUAUCCUAAUGUCCCAGAGUCCAGUAAACCCCACUGUCUGUAGCGACAGCUGAUGCCCAAUGGAAACAUUCCAUUUUCUUCUAGAGAAAAGCUCCCAUAGCUGUAUCAUUCCUCAGGGGCAGUGAGAUGGUCCUUCCUCUCACAAACCUAAGAUGCUGAUGGAAGAUUUGGUUGUGAUGUGCCUCCAGCUCCCUGGUGAGUGAAGAAAGUUCUCAGCCUCUGCAUGGCUUCUGCAUCAGAGCUCUAACUUCUCAGAGGGGAAAAGCCAAACUCCAGACAAGGAGAGCUCUUAGACCAUGGAGAAGACCAUUAGCUACACAGUAAGGGUUGGUGCUACACACAAGUCCUCACUGGCAUCUGCACACCGAGGCCUUCUGGAGAGCUGACUGGGAAGCCAGGAUUCUUGCUCUGAGUACCUUGCUUAUAGGACAGGUCCCAUCAAUGGUGGAAAAUCAAUGCAUAGAAACAAGUGCUGGUAAAUCAGACCUACUGGAACAAAAUAGCUUUCAUUGAUUGCUUCCAGAAAUUACUCUGUGUUUUCCAAACUCUACUUAAAAGACCCUGGUGCCUCAUUCCCUUUCCCCAUCUAAUCACCUAAUGAUAUUUAUAAUAAAUG